GGUCAGUGAUGUGAUGUAAAAGGGCUGAUGUCCAGCUCUCCUUCCGGUCCUCGUCCCUCCCAGCCGGCUCCACUAAUUUUCCCAGCAUGCUCUAGUUGUGCAGCCCUGGUCUGGUGUGUCGGCUGAUACGAUGGACGUUUCUGCUCAAUAAGAGUCUUGUUAGAGAAUCGAGUGAGAUUCUUGACAGAAACAUCCCACAGAAACGCAAACGCAGGAGGGCCGGACCGAAGGAGCCUGGUCGGCUGAUCUCAAGAAUCAUACUGAGACC